rnacentral:lncRNA from 1 species
CGGUCUCUUUGUAAACAUGAGGCCCGGGAGUGGUUCCAGAACGUCCAUCAUGGGGCUGCGAGAGCAGGAGGGAUGGGGCGUCCAUGGUGGCGGGAGGUUCUGUAAGUGGCGGUGGCCUUGAUGGAUCUCAGCACUGAGGUCGAGUUCUAAAGCCAGAGUGUGAGGCACAGUUCUGUCGCGUCACACUGGCUUCCAAGUCCCAUGGAUCUAGCCUUGAGAAGGCGGAAGGGGAGACUUGAGUUCUGCUGGGUCUUGGCUGCGUCGCCUCUGCCCUGGGGCGUGGGCAGGGCUGCGGUCUUGGAGGGUCUCUCUUUUCCUUUCUGUGAUGAGCGCACAGCUGGGGCCGCUCCAAGCCGCUGUUCUGCCUUCCUUUUCCUGCCCCUGUUACCUGGGCAGCGGAGGGCCGUGCGGCCCGGGCUCUCAGUGAGUGGCUUUCCCUGCUUCCCUCCUCCCAGCACUUCUCCACCGACCCAGUGGCCGCCUCCAUCAUGAAGAUCUACACGUUCAACAAAGACCAGGACCGGGUGAAGCUGGGUGUGGACACCAUUGCCAAGUACCUGGACAACAUCCACCUGCACCCCGAGGAGGAGAAGUACCGGAAGAUCAAGCUGCAGAACAAGGUGUUUCAG